GAGUGGAGUUUACUGGUGUGAGUCCAGAGAGGGAGCAACCAGUAACAGCAUCAACAUCACUGUCACUGGUAAGAUCAGACUGUGGAGUCAGUAUUGAUGAAGCUGUGUGUGAAUGGAUGACAUGCUGUAGUUUGUCUCUGUGCAGGCUGUUCUCAUGAAGCAUUUGAACAUAUAGCUGUGAAAAGCAAAGUGUUGUAAUUUGUAUGUGUCACAGGGCGGAAGUAGAUUUUAUUUAAGCAUGCUUUUACUAUUUGCUGCGCUUUUAUCUUUUAUAUAACAUGCUUUAAUUUUGAAAUGUGCGGUGUGUGUUUUUAAUGUUGGUUUUACUUACCGCCAGUGAACAUUUUAGUAAUCAGGACUUAAGGACUUGCACCUGGGAGCCAGAGAUAGGUUGCUUGGUUGUUAAACAUACAAAGGGCAGAACAGCAACAGAACAGUGAAGUAGCACAUGAUGGAGGACACUGAGGGUGAAGAAGUACAAGGGAAGGAGGACAUGGAGAGAAUGAGAGCACACGAUGGAGGAUGCAGAGCACAACAGACGGAGGAUGCAGAGCACAACAGACGGAGAGGAGUGGACGGAGAGCCACAGAGAGAGAGCCACAGAGGAGGACUGAGAGUACACCGAAAAACUUGAACACCGAUCGCUAGCGGCAACAGUGGGAGAAGGUAAAACUUCUCCCUUCCGCGCUAUGGCCCAGGAGAGGAGCCAAACGACAAAGAAGCUGGUUGCCAGAGGAGACCGGGGACAUUUUAAUCUCCCAUUCCUGUUCUGUUGUACUUGUGUUUUUAUUUUUAAUUUUUUUUUACUCACAGUUUUAAACCCAGUGGUUUUAACUAAUCUACCCUGGAAUAAAGGACCUGUUUUAAUCUUUA